rnacentral:tRNA from 1 species
GCCCGGAUAACUUAGUCGGUAGAGCAUCAGACUUUUAAUCUGAGGGUCCUGGGUUCAAGUCCCUGAUUGGGUG